UUACAGGUAAGGCAUAGAGCGAUAACAAUACCUACCCAUAUGACUCAGACUGAGUGAUGUUUUCAAGGAAGAGCUGUGGCUCCAGUGACGCAGGAUGGUGUGUGUCAGCCCUCAGGCUGGGCCCAGCGCUGAGAAGAAGAGUUAGUGCUGUCUGCUUGGUGAAGGCUCCUGCUAUCCAGGUGGAGAGGGUUGGAGAAGAGAGAGGGGAGACAGGAAGAAAGAGCAAUGUGGACGUGCGGCAGGGAUACCAUCCUUGGGCUGGAAGUGAGAAAACAAGGAGAUUAAGAUGUCAGAUUAUCUCAAGGUUUCAAGCUUCAGGGAUGAGCAGGAGGACAUCAUUACAGACAGGGCAGACUGAAGAAGAGCACGCUUGAAGGAAACGUCUGGAGUUUUAUGGUGACGCUUCCUAGCUGCCAGCCCAAAGAAGAAGACAUGACCCACAGUAUCUCUGAAAUAAAAAGAACUCAGUUGCUCAGAAGAAGCAAUGCGUUUGGAAUAUAGAACGUGCUUCUUAAGAUUCACUGGGAAGAAGUUUUGUGGAUAGGAGCAUUGAGAUCUGACAAGAAAAGCUUUGGGGAGAACUACCCUUGCAAGCUGAAUCGCGAGUAAGAGGGUGAGAGGCUGGCUGCAGGAAGGAGCAAGGCCUCCAGUCCCUCUUGUAGUGUGAGCUGUUCCUGCCAUUGUGAAAAAACAAAUGAGGUCACACCCUAGGGCCUGGAGGCUGUAUCCAGCCAGCAGACAUGUUUGUUGGGCUGGCACACUGUUUGUUUAUUGUUGUCUUUUACUUUUCUCCCAUUAACACAAAAGCAGUGCAUUGUGAAAAUAUAAAUGACCAAAAAGAAAAAUAUAAAUUAGAAUCCUGACCAGAAAUUAGCACUAUUAACGCCUCCUUUUAUCCUAGAUAUUUGCUUCAUGGUUUUUUCAGUUGGAUCUUCUAGGCAGGACACACUGCCUCUUGGUGCCUGUGCCACCGGCUCCCCUAUUGCCUUGUAUCUGGCCC